rnacentral:lncRNA from 1 species
GAAAGAUCUCCCAUGCUCAUGGAUUGGCAGGAUUAAUCUAGUAAAAAUGGCCAUUUUACCAAAAGCAAUCUACAGAUUCAAUGCAAUCCCCAUCAAAAUACCAAUCCAAUUCUUCAAAGAGUUAGACAGAACAAUUUGCAAAUUCAUCUGGAAUAACAAAAAACCCAGGAUAGCUAAAGCUAUCCUCAACAAUAAAAGGACUUCAGGGGGAAUCACUAUCCCUGAACUCAAGCAGUAUUACAGAGCAAUAGUGAUAAAAACUGCAUGGUAUUGGUACAGAGACAGACAGAUAGACCAAUGGAAUAGAAUUAAAGACCCAGAAAUG